rnacentral:rRNA from 1 species
AUUGAACGCUGGCGGAAGGCCUAACACAUGCAAGUCGAGCUAGCGGCGGACGGGUGAGUAAUGUCUGGGAAACUGCCUGAUGGAGGGGGAUCACUAAUGGAAACGGUAGAUAAUACCGCAUACCAUCAGAUGUGCCACGAUGGGAUUAGCUAGUAGGUGGGGUAACGGCUCACCUCGGCGACGCUCCCUAGCUGGUCUGAGAGGAUGACCAGCCACACUGGAACUGAGACACGGUCCAGACUCCUACGGGAGGCAGCAGGGGGGAAUAUGGCACAAUGGGCGCAAGCCUGAUGCAGCCAUGCCGCGUGUGUGAAGAAGGCCUUCGGGUCGUAAAGCACUUUCAGCGGGGAGGCGUUACCCGCAGAAGAAGCACCGGCUAACUCCGUGCCAGCAGCCGCGGUAAUAC